rnacentral:rRNA from 1 species
UACGAAGGGGGCUAGCGUUGCUCGGAAUCACUGGGCUUAAAGGGCGCGUAGGCGGGUGCUCAAGUCCGGGGUGAAAUCCUCCAGCUCAACUGGAGAACUGCCUCGGAUACUGGGUGCCUCGAGGGUGGUAGGGGUAUGCGGAACUAUCGGUGGAGCGGUGAAAUGCGUUGAUAUCGAUAGGAACUCCGGUGGCGAAGGCGGCAUACUGGACCACUUCUGACGCUGAGGCGCGAAAGCCAGGGGAGCAAACGGG